UUCGCCCUCCGAAUACUCGUCCCCCCUUUCUUUUCCAUGGCCUAAACGAGAAACCUGAGGGGUUUCGUGGCUCUUUUGGAUCGGGGAAUCUCCGAUGGUGGCGGGACGCGAAGAAUAGGUAAGUUUUCAGCCCCUCUUUCGUUUUUAUUUUUAUUUUUAAAAAAGAUUUAACACAGAAAAUAAAAUAAAAAAAUCUAAAGAAAGAAAAAACUAAGAAAAGAAAAUAUGAAAACAACCUUUUUAAUUAGUUCUCUUUUUGAUUAAUAAUCUGUGUAAUACAAUCCCCUUUUUUGUAUUUGAAAACAAACCCCCUUUUGUUUAUUGAUUUGCAGUAAAUUUGAAAGGAAACUAAGAAGAAGUUAAAACGAAAUGAAAACAAAUAAAAUGAAAUCGAAGAUCCACCUUUCUGUGUUUUUUCUCUUGAUUGCUAGUCUCCUGGUAUUACAUUUUUACCAGGCUAUAUAGCCG
rnacentral:lncRNA from 1 species